rnacentral:lncRNA from 1 species
GGCACAGCAGCUAGCACUAGACCUGAAGGCAGCAGGCUUGUGCGCAGCUGCUGCUCCUUGCCGGGAAGCCGAUCACUGCACCAGGAUCAGCUUUGGAUCCUCCUCAGCAGCAGCAGCUGAGCAGCCAGGGGUCGCGGGCAUGCACCAGCUGAAACUUGCGCAGGCUGCCUGCUAACGGGUCUUCCUCCUCUGGUGCCCACGGGCCCGCACAGUCCUUAAAACAGCUGCCCUGCUGAUGGAGCAGAAAUAACAGGCUCCGGAUCUCGGCUCACCUGAGGGGGCCGGUGAGAGGCACAGAGAAGGGGUUAUAGCGCCUGGAGGAAAGCGACUGUCACGGACCUCUUAUGACCAUGCUUUCUCGUGAUCACGUUUCCCCAUUUCUUGGGACUCUGAGGUACCCCCCGCUCUGGACCUGAGGAAGUAGUUGCAGCAGUGACUAGAGCCAUGGUUGAGAGUUCUUCCCGAUUGACUUGUAGAGACAGGCUCAACCCCAUGGGAUACAUGCCACAAUGUGUGCUCAAUAGCAGCAUUACCAGAUCUUCUUCAGAAGCAUUCUCAGUUUCAUCCAGGAUAUUGGUGUGAAUUUAAAUUUCUCUGGCUCUUUCCUGAGAAGCUCUUCAAAACUACAGAACUCCUCAUCACUCAGUCUUUGCAGAGGCUUCAGCAAGCCAUGGCCAGAUGAGUCCACCAUCUUGGAUAGUCAUCUCCGAUUCCAGAGCCUGAUAAAUCUUCAAAACAAAGACAUAAGUGAUACCUUGGUCCCAAAAUUUCAACACUGGGAAUCCAUUUCCAAGCAACAACUGCACAAAUGCUCAAAGAUGCACCCAGUCUGGACCUGGUUGCAUGGGCUGAUACUUAUCAAAGGACAGUGAGUACUCUUAACUGCAGAGCCAUGCCUAUGCUACCAAGUAUAUUAGAAGCCACUCUAUUUGUACAUUAUGAGGAGUUAGUGGCACAGGUGCACAGUUUCUACUUCUAGGAGGACCAGCUCUUGAAGCCAUGUUAUUAAAAAUAAUUGUCAACAGAACCAAGGGUUCUAUGCCUGCUAGCCUUAGGAUGAUCUUCUGAGUGACAAAAUCUAGCUACCUCACAUCCAGCUGGCAUGACUCUUGGCCUCUAGACAUUUUCCUGAAUUCCUGUCUUGUGUUUGUCUCUCUUUUGUGAACUCCUAGGAUCUGCAUCUUUCCUCAGAUAUAUCAGCUCAAUGCAUCUUAGACUAGUCCCACUGACUAUCAUUCUUGGGUCUUAACGACUACUCUGUCCUUCAGGGCAACUUUUGAGUCAUGGCUAGCACAUUUUAAAUGCCUCUUGAUAUAUCUGGUUGUAAUUUUCACACCCAGGAUGAGGAAAGAGUUGAGAUGCCAAAGCUAUUGGCAUAGGCCGUAUCUACCAAGUAGUCUAAAGUAUACAGCCUGGCAUUAAAGUGGAGAAAUUCAGCAAGAGAAGGUAACAGGCACUGUGAUCCCCCACUAGACCACAAUUGAGUAAUAGCAGCUCCAGUCUUAUGCUGGCCCAGUAUAGGCAUAGUCAGCUGCUGUGAGAUCAUGACUGAAGUGGAGACGUGCCAGAAGGCAGCAUUUCAAAGCCCUUCUCCAUACCUUCUACCUUCUAGGUUCUUUUGAUGGAUCCUCAGGGAGAGGUGGUCUUUGUCUUUAGUUAAGUAGCCAUGGGUUAAGUGAUCACAUCAGACUCCACAGGACAGAGAUGCAGACAGCCUGCUUAGAAAAGCUCUGCCUUUGGAUCACAAAACAGAAGUUGUGAAUGUGAGAAAAGGGAGUUGUAGGGAAAAGUGGGGAUUGAGAAGAGUGGAAUGGAGAUGGGAAAGGGACAAAGAACCAGAGAGUAUUGUUGCAUCUGCCUCGGCCGGCAAGGAAGACACAACACAGUCGGAUUCUUCUCAACAGCCUUUAUUGCAGGGACGCCUCAAUGCUGCUACAGGUACCCUGGGCACCCAGGGAGUUCUGCUUAUAUACUCUCAGCCCCCAUCCACUCACGGCAGGCCAUGUCACCUCACCAGGCACACAGCUUCAGCCAAUCAGGGCGGCAGGGGCAUGUCUCCACCAAAUAUGGGCUUUUUUACACCACCAGCAUCAUGGUGCACCUGCACAGCUCUCACGAUGGUCGUGGCUUAUUUUCAGGUGUAUGAGGAAGUCAGGUGCAAGUCAUAAGACUUAGCUGCAGUCCCGGGCGCCAUCUUGGGACUGCUGCCCCACCCGCUCCUCACAUCUCUCCCCCCCCUUUUUUUGGCGGAGAGAAUGUCUGUCUUAGAUUGCCCCCCUGUGGCAAUGCCCCUUACCCAUCCUUGGGAGACAAACAGCAUUGGUUUGAUCCCUGUCUUAGGUUGGUGACACGCCCAGGGAGUCUUAUCCGUCAUUGACUACUUCUCUAUCAUGCCAAACCACACUUGAGGAGAUUGUCCUGUCUGCAUGUGGCAGGUGCACCAGAAGGCCAGGAUGCUGAUUAAUCUAUGGCCCAAUUUUGAUUGCUGCAAGCAAGCCUCAUGGGUGAAGGUAGAGGUCUGAUCCCCAGUGUGCAAGCAUAGGGGCCCUACACAAAACCAUCCCUUGGGCUCAUCACCCAGAGAGGUCUUGGCCAGCUCCCGUGUCAUUUUUCCUGGGGGAAGGGAACUAGGACAUUGAACCUUCAUGCAAUCAGACGUGCCUUCCACAGGAUGCCAACAGCAAGCUAUCCUCUGUGCAGUGCUUAGCCUUGCAACCCAUGGCAUAACGCAGCAUUAUUUCUUUAGAGCGGCUAAGCCAAAUCUGAGGAAAUUGUCCUGCCUCCACUGCGGCAAAGGCCUGCGCCACUGCCACAGGCCCUCUGGUCCCCUGUGCCUGUGUAGAAAAGAGUCUCUAGAGUAGAUGGGCAAAAAUUAGGAUGUAUUGACAAGCAGUCAAACACGCUAGAAUGGUGUUGGAUCUGAAUGUAAUGUUCCAGUCGAGCAUCAGACUUUUAUAAUACAGAAUAAAUUGCAGAACAAGGCACAUUGAAUUUUUCCAGGUGCAAAAGGAGUGACUUCAAAAGGAACCAGGUAAAUGUAUAACACUAGAGAUUUAGCACAGAUGCAAGGGGAGUGACUACAAAGGGAAUUUGUAGGGACCAGAUAAAUGUUUACAUUAGAGAUUAGCACUUUCUGCCAGGCAAGAGUUUUACACUUAGAGUUAAUUGCCUCAGGGUAGUUAACUCUUGACACGCCUCAAGAAUAAUGUAGUGUCACUGACCCCAAAAUUCUCUAGGCCUCUAAUUCUUAUCAAUAUCUGAAGACUGUCUAUUUUCAGUAUAGUAUACUAAUUUGCUCUUGGCAUGGAAUGUAGUCUGUAAUAAGAAUUUCUAUCUCAGUGAGAAUUUUAGUCUCUAUCUGUAAACAGCUGAGUAAAAUGGCAAGUGCUUAAUUGUUUACUGAAUGGGUUAAGCUCCUUGCUGCUAUCUGGAAUCUAAGAACACUGGGAAAAGGCUUUAGCUAUGUUAGAAUACAACCUUAAAAGGCAUUUACUAUAAGGUGAUGUUUAAUAGAGUGCAUGUGAAUCUAUACACUAGAUUAAUGUGGUGGAAAUUUGAAUAUAAUGGGUUAGGGAAAGAGAUGCCAUAACUCUGGGAGGAAAAUUUCCCUGGACUCUUAUCCUCGUGAAACAGCUUCCAGGCUUUUCACCUGACAAACCGAUCCAAACUGGAGAGUUGGCUUUCGCCAGAAUAUCCAGGAGGAGAGUCCUAGAAAUUUAUUUCUCAUGAGCAGCUUUUUGGCAUUUUUGCCUCACAAGCUGACUCCACCAGAGUGCCCUGACACGCCACCAUGGCGGAAGUGCGGGCCUGCACAUGCUUCACCUGACACAUACACCAAACACACAACACACACACUAUUACAAGCAUACAUUCCAGGGCUUCCAUCAGCCCUGAGGCAAGGGAUCAGUGCAACUACCAUUCACCCCACAUAACAACCAUACAUAUAAGAGGCACUGCCCAAGGUGGAAGGGAAUCAGGAACACUCCUACAAAAAGGAAGGCCCAUCUAGGUUGGGAGGUUAUAGUGCCCUUGGAUGUACUAGCAGGCCACACCCCUCGAAUCCAGGUAGCAUUAGCUUUAGUAGAUACAGCUGAACACAAUCACUCAUCUGUGAAAUAUUUUGAAUCAUCUGAAAACACAACAAUCCCUUUAGCUGAAGCAGCAUAGAAAAAAGGCAAUUGUAGUGAAGCAUUAGAUGUAAAGAAUCGAGGAAACACUUGAAUGCGCCAACGGCAUGGUUUUCAGGAACACAGACAUUAUUCCCCAACGUAGCUCUUCAGUUCUCACUAGCGCGAGCAUUCCCAGCCACAGGAACAUCCACGUCCUCAUAGCUCUGCUUGUUUUGAAUUGCUCUGGUCAGCCCUUCUGGGACCCACAGCUGUUGUGGGUGAUCCUGAGGAAACACAAACAGACCCUCUCGCCCAAACCAAUUGAGAGCGCUCCUCUCUCACCUGAUUCAGCACCUCAUUACCUCUCUGAAGUUCUGCGCCACAUCUUUCUCUUCUAUGCAAUUUCUCACUAACUUCCAGACCGGCAAAACCCCUUUUGGUAAAACCCUCUGUUCCUCUGCAAACCUCAAGUCCCAAUGGUGCUUGGUGCAACUUGUCCCAAAGCCGGGAACCUUAACUUGUAAGAAAGGAAGAAACUUGUCCCAAAGCCGGGAACCUUAACUUGUCUUCACAAUUUCCUUUUCUUUAUCACUGAUUCCUUUUAUUUUCCCUCCCUUUUCUUUUCCUUUUUCUUUCUUGCCCUUUUUCUUUCUCUUGCUCAUACGCUCUUUGUCCUCUUCUGACAUGCUUUCUUGUUCCAUAAGAAUUUUCUGACCUGCUUUAACUGCCUCAACACAUCGCUUGUCCUCUAAACAAGCAUGCACCAUGCGCCAAAGCGGUUUCACUCCUGUGGGUUUUUUUUUUUUUUUUUUUUAUUUUUUACUGAUCCUUUUUCAGCUUCUCUUUCUAGGUCUCUCCCCAACUUAUCCCACGAUCCCAAAGUUAGGGAUCCGGUAGGCAAAAACCAGGGCGCAAUGCGGUCAACUUCAGACAGAAAACUUGCUAAUAUUUCUUCUGAUUUUGAGCUUCCGCUGACCAAGCAGAUCUUGCAAAGCGGAGAAGAGAUUACUAGAUGGACACUCAUGUCCAGGUCUGUGACAGUUCAAACAAAUGCAAAGGCCAUAAAAUACAAAAAAUGAAACUAGGAUGAGAGCUACCCACGCUGGUCUAUAGGAGGAAAAAACAUCCCCCUUUAACCGGGAAUCAAUUAGGGAGACUUACCGGUACCGCCGUUCCUUGGCUGAAAAGUUCUGAAUCUGCGAAGUCGUUGUCCUCAGGUCCCUGUACAGGCCACCAGAUGUUGCAUCCACCUCAGCCGGCAAAGGAAGACACAACACGGUUGGAUUCUUCUCAACAGCCUUUAUUGCAGGAAUGCCUCAAUGCUGCUACAGGGACCCUGGGCACCCAGGGAGUUCUGCUUAUAUACUCUCAGCCCCCAUCCACUCAUGGCAGGCCAUGUCACCUCACCAGGCACGCAGCUUCAGCCAAUCAGGGCGGCAGGGGCAUGUCUCCACCAAAUAUGGACUUGUUUACACCACCAGCAUCAUGGUGCACCUGCACAGCUCUCACGAUGGUCGUGGCUUAUUUUCAGGUGUAUGAGGAAGUCAGGUGCAAGUCAUAAGACUUAGCUGCAGUCCCGGGCACCAUCUUGGGACUGCUGCCACACCUGCUCCUCACAGAGUAUCACAGACAGAUAUGAAACUGUCAGACAUAUUGAAAAAAAUCAUAAGAUGGAGAGAAAUUAAGAAUAGAAAUGACAGUUUUAAUUUCUAAUGCAUAAUGUGUUCCCCAUCAAUAUCUACUUUUAACCAUAACCUGGUUUUGAUAGAAAAAUAGUGAGCAUUAUCUUCAAAAAGUUUAAACUUGAAAAACCAUUGUUCAAUAUAGGCUGUCAACAUGAAAGGUUUUUUUGCUGAUUAUAGAUGUUUUAAAACAUUCUUCAUUUGUAUUGCCAAAUUCUAUUUCAACUGUUUCAAAUUACUACUGUAAUUUUAGCUGCUGAGGGAUUCCAAAUUUGAUUUGCUUGAAAGACAUCGCUUGAAAGAUAGGAAAAUAAUAACAAUUAGAAUUAAAUUUAGAGUUUUAUUAGAAAAUUUGAACUCAGAAAAUUUUGCUUUCAUUUCAAUGUUAUUAGAAACCACAUCAAAUAUACUGCUAAAGUGUCAAAUAUAUUCAACAUUUACUGAGAUUAAGACAUACAGUCUACUCUCAUUCUGUACAUUUUUCUGUUCUUCUUGACACAAGGGCUGCUCCAUUUUAUAUAAAGGGGUACUGGAAAAAUCCAUGGAUCACAGACGCACACUUUCAUUCCUCCUGAGUGUUUCAUCUACAGCAAAAGCAAAACAAUAAAAAUAAGCAAAAAACGCCA